rnacentral:sRNA from 1 species
CAGUUUGCUGUGAGAAGACCAGAAGGGUUAACCAACGGCCUCCUGUCCCUGGACGGGUCUUGGUGCCCGCUUAGAACCCAAAGCCCUUAACUUCAUGCUCCUCGUCCUGCUUCAGGGGCGGGGCUUGGCACAAUCCCAGGAGGUGCCAGGUCUCAAUGGCCCGAGGCCAUGGGUGGGUGACAGGGAGCAGGGGCCUCAGAACCAACCUAGGGUGUCUGGGGCCCCUCAGACCAGGGCCAGUCCUGGGGCACCUGCGGUAAGCCAGCAGCUACCAGUCCCUCCUUUCUCCUCAGCCAUUUGGUGUGUGGAGGAAUUCCUGGGGUGGCCUUGAGAGAACAGCCCGUGGUGUGGCUGGCCCGUGUCCCUGCGAAUAGAAAAACCAGUCCUCGAGGGGAGCCGUGCUGCUGCCCCACAGGUGGUUGCAGGUGGAGGGCCUGAGUCAGACUUGAACCCGCAGCAUUCACUGUCAUGGGCUCGGAUCUCACCCCUGCCUCUUGCCCACUCUGACAUGGUACUUCCUUCCUGGGCCUUAGUCUCCUCAUCUGUAAAAUGGGGAUUCAAAGGCCCGGCGGGUGAUGGGGUGAUGAGAUGAAUUUGUGUGUGUAGAACACUUCGAGCCGUGCCAGCACCGUUACCUGUGUGUGUGAUGGUAGGACAGUUGUUCCCAGGGACCACACUGAGGCCGGCCUUGCGGCGAGGUGCCCCUCGGCGUCCCCACCUUCGCAUUCCAUUCUGCAGGCCCCCCGGACAGACCACCCAGCCCUGUACAGGGACCUGCUGAGGACCAGCCGCGUGCACUGGAUUGCGGAGGAGCCUCCCGCAGCACUGGUCCGGGACAAGAUGAUGGAGUGCCACUUCCGAUUCCGCCACCAGAUGGCACUAGGUGACUGACGGGAGGGCUCCUGAGGACGGGCCCCUUGAAGCUGAGCUUCCUGAGGCCAGAUUUGGGCCAGGGAUGGGAGACCCUGGGGUAGGAAAGUCCCGUUGUGGAGAUUAUUUGGAGAUUACCUAAAAUAUUUAGAACUCCCGUGUCCUGUGCCUGCCCUGAGCGAGGCCUGGGGGUGCUGGGAGCAGAUGCAGGCAGGCCCCGGCGUGUUGGGCUGAAGCAAGCGUGUACACUACCCCGCAGUGUCCUGCUGCGCCCAGGCUGGUGCCCUGCCCUUCCCCUCUAAGCAGGGGUUCUUGACCCCGUGGGCUGGUACUCCUUUCUCCCUGGGGGCCUGAGGUUGACCAGGAAAGGCCUGUGGCCCCCUCCAAGGGCCCCUCUCUUCUACCCAGUGCCCUGUGUGCUGACCCUCAAUCAAGAUGGCACCGUGUGGGUGACAGCUGUGCAGGCUGUGCGUGCCCUUGCCACAGGACAGUUCGCUGUGUUCUACAAGGGGGACGAGUGCCUGGGCAGCGGGAAGAUCCUGCGGCUGGGGCCGUCUGCCUACACACUACAGAAGGGCCAGCGCAGAGCUGGGAUGGCCACUGAAAGCCCCAGUGACAGCCCAGAAGAUGGUCCAGGCCUGAGUCCCUUGCUCUGACAGAGAUGGAGCUGCUAGAAGGAACCUGGAGAGCAGGACCCAGGGCUGGGCCUCUGGUGAGCAGUCCAGGUGCCCAAGGGCCAGCUUGCUGCUGCCCAAAGCAGAGGAAGCCGGGCUGGCCGAGGGUCCGAAAAGCCUGCAGGGGCCCGGCGAGCCCCAGGAAGAGCCUCACCUCCAGGCUGGGGCUCUGGCUGCUGGAGCAUCUGCUGGCUGGUGGGGUGGCCCAAGUUCCCCUUCACUGCCCCCAGGGAGGGUUUCCCACCUCAGAGUACACCGAGGGGACCUGCAGAGGGGGCUGUCGGGACAGCGUGGAAUAAACAUUAUUUCAAGGA